rnacentral:misc_RNA from 1 species
AGAAAAUAGAGCCUGAUGCAGAACUUCAGGUGUUAGUUGAUCGAUUCAUUGAUGGUCAUGCUAGAAUCCAGAGGUCUCCAGUUAAUGCAGAUGCGGGCGGAGUAAUGGUGGAACAGAAAAAUGUUAUAUAUGGGGACGUUUCCAUGGAGAGGGGUGCUUUUUUAGUCCAACAAGCUAUGAGAGCAUUUCAUGCAAAGAAUAUAGAAAGUGCGAAAUCACGUCUCAGUCUUUGUGCAGAGGAUAUCCGUGAUCAAUUACAGACUUUGGGUAACACGUCAGAGUUAUGCUCACAACUUGGCGCUGUCCUCGGAAUGCUAGGAGAUUGCUGUCGUGCAACAGGAGAUUCUGGUUCGGCAGUUGCUUAUUACGAAGAAAGUGUUGAGUUUCUCUCUAAGCUUACUGCAAAAGAUUUGGAGUUGGUGCACACACUGUCUGUGUCACUAAAUAAAAUUGGAG